AACGAACGCUGGCGGCAGGCUUAACACAUGCAAGUCGAGCGCCCCGCAAGGGGAGCGGCAGACGGGUGAGUAACGCGUGGGAAUCUACCCAUCUCUACGGAAUAACGCAUGGAAACGUGUGCUAAUACCGUAUACGUCCUUCGGGAGAAAGAUUUAUCGGAGAUGGAUGAGCCCGUGUUGGAUUAGCUAGUUGGUGGGGUAAAGGCCCACCAAGGCGACGAUCCAUAGCUGGUCUGAGAGGAUGAUCAGCCACACUGGGACUGAGACACGGCCCAGACUCCUACGGGAGGCAGCAGUGGGGAAUAUUGGACAAUGGGCGCAAGCCUGAUCCAGCCAUGCCGCGUGAGUGAUGAAGGCCCUAGGGUUGUAAAGCUCUUUCACCGGUGAAGAUAAUGACGGUAACCGGAGAAGAAGCCCCGGCUAACUUCGUGCCAGCCGCCGCUGUAACAC
rnacentral:rRNA from 1 species